AAGCAUUUCAUACCGAGAGACAGAGAUUCCGAGAGAUAAUCAAGGAAUCUGCCAACAAUGAAGCUGAAUAUUGAUUUGGGUUUACUUCUCAUCGCUCUGGUUGCCAUAUUGACAUUCCACAGAGUUCAAUCAGUGAUCACCGGGGCUGCAACAUGCGACAACAGAAUGUCUUUCUAUGCUGAUGGUGUCCUCUAUACCACCACGCCAAACGAUAAUAGAUGGCCAAGAUUAUCACCUGUCAGGAUUCCCGAUGAUACCGAAGUUGUUGCCAUUAAAUGCGUAAAUACCGGGAGAGUUGGUGGCAUCAAGAUGGCACUCAAUGGCGGUUCUAAAACAGACGUGACGUGGAAAUGUUCUUCUACAUUUGAAGAUAAUUGGAAUAAAGUCGGAUUUUAUGACGCUGCCUGGGCAAAUGCUGUAGUACCCGACUACAACAAUAGACGAAAAAGACCACGAUCUCUGAAUGGUAUAGCUGACUGGAUUUGGACAGAUGGUUAUAGACCGAACCAGGAUACAACAGUCUAUUGUAGAAAAGUUAUCAAAAAUCCAUGUGCUCUCACAGGACGAAAGUUUUUCGUUUAUCCAUUCGACAACACGAAAUACUACCAAUGUGAUAACAUGGUUGCCAAGCUACGUGACUGCGCACCUGGUACAGUAUGGAAACAAUCAGCCCGUACUUGUGUUAUGGACAGCGUUCCAGACAGUGGCUGCAUCAACAGACGUAUCACAGCUGAUCCAGCCAAUUGUACUAAAUUCUAUAAUUGUUCUAAAGGUAAACGAAUCGGAGAACCAAUGUCUUGUGCACCUGGCUCGGUUUUUAACAAAAAAAAGAAUAAAUGUGAUCACAUCUAUAACGUUCCAAACUGCCCCUAAAACCGAUCCUGUUUAAUGAUUUCAAUACACCAAACUAUUGAAUUAGGAAUAAGAUUUACCUAGUGUUAUGUUUAAUUAUUUUGGCUUAAAUUGGUUUCUAUCACGACUGUCGAUACCGGAAAUAUUUAGAGUUUAUAUUCUGAC